rnacentral:rRNA from 1 species
UACGUAGGGGGCAAGCGUUGUCCGGAAUUAUUGGGCGUAAAGAGCGUGUAGGCGGUCCGGUAAGUCGGCUGUGAAAGUCCAGGGCUCAACCCUGGGAUGCCGGUCGAUACUGUCGGGCUUGAGUACGGGAGAGGCGAGUGGAAUUCCUGGUGUAGCGGUGAAAUGCGCAGAUAUCAGGAGGAACACCGAUUGCGAAGGCAGCUCGCUGGAACGUUACUGACGCUGAGACGCGAAAGCGUGGGGAGCAAACAGG